rnacentral:lncRNA from 10 species
CUCUGGAUCGCAGCUGUAGGGAAGUCCAGAUUGAUGUUUACAACUGGCUUGCAUCUUCACAUCUGCAAGCCUUGGAUGGUGAUUUCUUCCUCAGCUGCGGUCUGGAUUUGGGCAUGGUAUCAAGGGAGCCCAUAAAAUGUCAGGGGAUAUGCAAGGUAAAAUGAAGUUUGAAGUGUACAUCACACUAUGGAAGGGAAGCAGGAGGAGCCACAGAUUCUAGCUGAAUUCUUCCCUGAGAUAGCGGAGUGAUCAUGUGGGAGGUGGCAUUUGACUUGAAGAUUGCAGCGUGAGUAACUGCCUGACUCAGAAGAGUGGGAGAAGGGCUCUGGACACUUGAGCCUCGGCAGAAGUGUAUGGUAAACCACACUUUGUCUCCCCCUUAUCCUCGAAGGUUUGCUGCAUAUGGUUGGCACACUGUGCACUGGACAAUGGAAUGUGGCUGACCAGGCAUUGGGAGAGAUGGAAAUCCAACCCGCUGAAUGCUCACAACCGUGCAAUCUACCAUUCCCCUCAUGAACGGAUGCCCUUGUCCUACUUACUGCAUGGACUAGCUGCAGUUCUGUGAACAUAAAUAAGAAUUUAGCACUCAUGGACAUUGCCUCAAUGGAUCAACACAACAGCCUAAUAAGCUGAGUCUUAUUUCCCAGAUGAAGAAAUUGAAGAUUAUAGGAGUUAAGUGACUUGCUACAAUUUGGAAGCUAGUGAGUCCAGGUGUUACAGGGUAAGGAAAGCGCUGCCUAUGCGGGAUGCCCAACCUAAGGGAAGACUCAUGGGAAAGAGAUGAGCCUAUAAAGUCCUAGGACCAAGGCCUCCUUUUUGCUGUCUUCUCGUCUCUCUUGGACCUUCAGGCGCCCCGCUUGGGUUUGUUCCAAGUGAAUUUUCCUUUUUUGCCUGUUCUAAAGCUUUUUAAAUAAAUUUCCACUCCUGCUCUGAAACUUGCCUUGGUCUCUUUUUCUGCUUGAUGCCCCUCAGUCCAAUUAUAUCUUCUGAGGAGGCAAGGACUGAAGAUGCUAUGGACCCGCACAGAUAUGCUGCUGAUAACUCGGGGUAAUACAGGCUCUUCCACUGCUAACACAGGGAACUAGGAUCUAACCCUGAAUGACUCUUCAAGCAAACAAGGCCAGAGUGAGAUUGAAAUGUAUUGGCGAUCUCCGAAAAACAAAAGCAAAAACAAAAUCUGUCUCUAUCCGUAUAUAUAUUUAUAUAUAUAUAUAUACACACAUACCUAUGUAUAGUAUAUAUGUAUACAUUCAUAUUCAAAACAUUCAAUUUUAUUAAUCUUGAAUUCAACCCAUUAUAUUUAUAUAUACACAUUUUUUCUAUAACUGCAUUUCUGUGCCUACUCUAAAAUCCAUUUUAAAAGAUCUGAAUAAUUCAAACAUUUCUGUAAAUUACACUUCCCUAAAAUCUAUACUUAUAAAAUUUUUUGCAGAAAAAUAUAGCCCAAUUAUUUUUUCUUUUUCUUGAAUACUUAUGUCAUAUACUGUUUCUUACAAUGUGCUGAUACUUUCAUGCAUUUUAAGAUUAAUAUUAAUAAGGCAGUCUCAAAUGUACUUUGCCCCUCUACACCCUUAAUUGUUGAUUUGUCUUCACUUGAAUAGUCACAGAGGGUUUUUAUUCAUUAGCUUUAAUGUUCAUUACUGGCCACUGAAACAAAAUAGAUUUUACUUUAUUUAAAUAAAUUAGGAUUUUGUAUUUUGAGAUUUUUCUGUAUUCAUUUUAUGAUGCUCAAAUACUUUUUCUUAUUAUGUAAGGAGUAUUGUAUAUUCUGGUUUUUGCCAUUUCUCAUUACUUAAGGAAAGGAUUUUCAUUGCUAACAUAGAGAAAAUGUUUAUAGAUGUGAUAGAAAUAAUGAUCAUAAGGUUACCUUGUAAGAACAUAAAUUCCACCCAGAGAUCCAUAAACACCUCAUUAAUAUUACUAAUACAAUUACGUACAGUUUUCACACCCAGAAAACCAUCUAGAUUAAAAUGCAAUCAUCUUAAUAUAGCAAUAUUAUCGAUUUGCAUUAACUGCAUUAAAGUUGCAUAAAUACAUGAAACCACAUCUUUAACUCAUUUCUUGUGUAAAAGGUUUAGAAGUAUCCCAAGCUUGAAGGAAAAUAAUAAAUACUGAAGAAUUAUUCCUUAAAUAUUUUUCUACUUCAUAUCACCCUUAUUUUUAAAGGGCUUUAAUUUUUUAUUUAAUUAUCUAAAUAUCUUGAAUUAUCAAAAGCACAUCUUUUUCCCAUUUUUGUUUUUCUAUAUACUAUGUAUUUAAAAGAGCUAUUUCAUGGUCACUGUUACCAAACACGCUAAUCAGCCAUGUUCUUUUGUAGCACUAUUUUCCUAGCAUUAUUUUCUUCCU